UACGUAGGGACCGAGCGUUGUCCGGAAUCAUUGGGCGUAAAGAGCGUGUAGGCGGCUAUUUAAGUCCUGCGUGAAAUCCUGCGGCUCAACCGCAGACGGUCGUGGGAAACUGGAUGGCUAGAGUCCGGAAGAGGAGAGUGGAAUUCCCGGUGUAGCGGUGAAAUGCGCAGAUAUCGGGAAGAACACCCGUGGCGAAGGCGGCUCUCUGGGACGGUACUGACGCUGAGACGCGAAAGCGUGGGGAGCGAACAGG
rnacentral:rRNA from 1 species